rnacentral:lncRNA from 1 species
UAGAGCUGCUCAUGGGAGUUGUGGGAUCACUGCAGUCUCCUCCUCUAUCUGAUUUGAAUGAGGCAGGCGAAUCAAGUUCCUUUUCUUUAUGGAUCAGCUCAGCACAUCCUAACUGAGGCUGGUAAGAUUUUGAUCUCUUCUUGUUCUUGCUGCUUCCAAUGCUUAAUGUCAGCUCCACUUCACUAUCUUCAUCACAGUCAGCUAUACUCAUAUUUUUACUUUUGAAGGCCAUGUGAGAGCUUGGCCCUGCUUGUUCUUGGUCAAUUGUACUGACUCCUGUUGACAUGUCUUCCUCGGCAGGCCUUUCAAGGUCAAAUCCCCUUGACAUUCUCAGGGUGUCUCCGGAGCAACUUCCACUGCCCUCUCUAGAGAUCGGAUCAUCUCUCAACCUCUGAAGAUGGAAAUUAUAUCCAGAAGAAGCUUGAGUUGUUGAAUUCUGCCAGUUAA